rnacentral:rRNA from 2 species
AUUUGACAUUAAUACAGGAAUACUUAAGAGAUUAAGUAGCUCUUCGGAGUCUGUAUACAGGUGGUGCAUGGUUGUCGUCAGCUCGUGCCGUGAGGUGUUGGGUUAAGUCCCGCAACGAGCGCAACCCCUGUUCUUAGUUGCCAGCAUGUAAAGAUGGGAACUCUAAGAAGACUGCCGUAGAUAAUACGGAGGAAGGUGGGGAUGACGUCAAAUCAUCAUGCCCUUUAUGUCCUGGGCUACACACGUACUACAAUGGAUGUUACAGAGGGAAGCUAAAUAGUGAUAUGGAGCGAAACCCAAAAAGCAUCCCCAGUUCGGAUUGUAGGCUGAAAUUCGCCUACAUGAAGCCGGAAUUGCUAGUAAUGGCAGGUCAGCAUACUGCCGUGAAUACGUUCCCGGGCCUUGUACACACCGCCCGU